rnacentral:rRNA from 1 species
GCCGAACGCUGGCGGCGUGCCUAAUACAUGCAAGUAGAACGCUGAAGGAGGAGCUUGCUUCUCUGGAUGAGUUGCGAACGGGUGAGUAACGCGUAGGUAACCUGCCUGGUAGCGGGGGAUAACUAUUGGAAACGAUAGCUAAUACCGCAUAAUAGCAGUUGUUGCAUGAUAACUGUUUGAAAGGUGCAAUUGCACCACUACCAGAUGGACCUGCGUUGUAUUAGCUAGUUGGUGGGGUAACGGCUCACCAAGGCGACGAUACAUAGCCGACCUGAGAGGGUGAUCGGCCACACUGGGACUGAGACACGGCCCAGACUCCUACGGGAGGCAGCAGUAGGGAAUCUUCGGCAAUGGACGGAAGUCUGACCGAGCAGCGCCGCGUGAGUGAAGAAGGGUUUCGGAUCGUAAAGCUCUGUUGUAAGAGAAGAACGAGUGUGAGAGUGGAAAGUUCACACUGUGACGGUAUCUUACCAGAAAGGGACGGCUAACUACGUG